AUAUAGCUACACACAUGCAGCUCCACAGAAAAAGAUUAUCAUGUCUGACAAAGAUUCCAAUAUUAGAUCUACUCAACAAGAUGAAUCCCAAGAUGAGACUCAGAGCUACCCAAUGGAGAGAUUGACCUCUGAAGCUCCUCCGCCUUACUCCGAGGUGGUGGGCCAUAGUCGAACAGUUAAUAAUGAUCCUGCUUCUGAGAGAAAUGAACAAGCACCUCCAUACCAACCCCCUGCAGUGCAACAAGAGAUAUCUUUACCUCCAGUGCGACUGGUGAGCAACAAUCCUACUCCACUGACAAGGGUUGUUGUAACUCCUCCACAACCAUCUGCUCCUAUCAGAUUCACAGUUCCAGCAGGACUACACACAGCUACUACACGAUUAUCACAAAACCAAGUACGAGAUCAAGUGAAAAAUAAACUGUGCUGUGUAGUAUUCUGCUCAGUAUUACUCUUCUUUUUGGCUACACCGCUCUCACUGUUAAUCACUCUGCCAAGCCUCUACUGUGUUUGUAAGGCAAAGUAUGAUGUGGAACUUGGGAAGUUGUCCAAAGCAGAUGAGGAAUCAACAUCUGGUUGUGUUGUGAUUUCAAUCACUGUAAUUCUCACCUUAAUUUUCCUGUCAGCAGCAAUGUUACCAAUUUUAUUCAUUUUUGCAUAGAUAUUCGAAUAUCUAUGGUUUUUGGCAUGCUAGUUUUAUUGCUCACCACCUCAUUAUGACAUGCGCAGCAACAUCAUGUCAUGUUCAUGUUUCUGAUGUGCACGUGCAUGUAUAAUAAUUAAAAGUUAUUUACUGCACUCUGAGUUAAUUAAACUGAUUGCUUUUCGUUUUUGCUGACUCAGCAGUAGAACAUGUAGGCGGAUCUAGCUAGUAUGGGUAUUAUGUGCUGAUAGGGUUAGGUCCAGUAAUCAUCACAGACACCAAACACAACUAGUUGUCAAUAAAUCAGCGACAGAAACUGUGCAUAAAUAUUGUCUCAUGAAUUAGUCGCCCUCUAUAACAUAGCACUUGUGAUUAGGCCGCCCAACUUUUAGAGGGCGGCUAAAAUAGAGACUAACAGAAGUAGUAGACUAUACUGCUGAGUCAACAAAAACGAAAAGCAAUUUGGCCUGGAAUGUCAUUAAAAGGUAGUGAAAGUUCAAGUGAUGUCCGACCUCCUCUGCUUUACCCCCCUCCGAAGCAGAACCUUCACAGGAUGUGCAUGCUUUUGAUAUAAAGUAUACAUAUGUACAUAGAACCUUCAUGUUUCUCCUACUGCACAAUCAACUAGUGAAUGAAUGGCUGACCACACUACCUAUUCUCUAGACCCAAUGGAGAGGUUGACAAAUGCGGCUCCCCCAACCUACUCUCAAGUGGUGGAGAAUGCUCCUCCGCCAUAUCAACCAACCAGUGCUGUAAUAUUACCUGAGGUUAAAAAUUUACCGAUUGCCCCUCAAACAUCAGCCCCUGUGCCGGUGGUAAUCCCUGUCAAUAGAAUUCCACUGACAAAUGAACAGCGAGAAGAUUCUGGAAUAUCAACUGUUGGGCUUCUUGUGUUUCUGAUGGCAUUCAUCAUGUCCCUCAUUGGAACUCCUCUAGUGUUGUUUGCCUUCUUACCAAGUAUAUACUGCAUCUGUAAGGCAAAAAGAGAACUCGAUCAGGGGAAAGUAACAGAAGCAGAGGAACACUCCUCCAAGGCCUGCAAAUUGGUCAUAUUAGGAAUUGUAAUCGGUUUUGCUCUUCUUAUAACUAUAAUAUCUCUUGCCAUCUCAUUAGCUAUCGAACUCGAUCAGUGACUAAACUUAAUUAAUACCUCAUGCAGUUUUAUAAGCCUUUAUAAUUAUGUGCAUUUUAUGUUGCUAUGAAUACACAGUGUUCAAGUUCAUGCUAAUUGCUCAGUCAGUUUAUACCGUUAGUAUACAUAGAAACAGCGAUAUACGGACCAAUGCAUGCUUUAGAUUUUGCUUAUACACACACGAUGACUAUAACAUCAGGUCAUGCAUAUACAGAAGUUCACUAUAGACCUAAAUCUACAGUUGUACUAGUGUGUAUCCUUCCUGCAAAGAUUUUAUGCUAAGGUCAAAGGAAGUGAUCUAUAUAAUCAAACCUCUCAAAUGCAUGGUAGAUCUAUACAUAAUAAUUAUGGCAUAGAUCUAUAUAUAUCAGAUCUAUAGCUAAAAACUGACCAUUAAUUAAAUCUACAAGAGAAAUAAUGUCAGACAAAGAUACUGAAACUCAGAGUUACCCAAUGGAGAGGUUGACCUCUGAAGCUCCUCCACCUUACUCUGAGGUGGUGGGCCAUAGUCCAACAGUUAAUAAAGAUCCUGCUUCUGAGAGAAAUGAACAAGCACCUCCAUACCAACAUCCUGCACUGCAACAAUAUAUAUCUUUACCUCCAGUGCGACUGGUGAGCAACAAUCUUAUGCCACCACCAAGGCGUGUGAUUGUAACUCCUCCACCGACAAGAGUUGUGGUUGUAACUCCUCCACAACCAUCUGCUCCUACGACAGUUCCAAGAAGACGUCCCGAACUAUAUACACGUGGUGAUACACAAUUAUCACAAAACCAAGUACAAGAUCAAGUGAAUUUCAAACUAUGUUGUACAGUAUUCUGCUCAAUAUUACUCUUCUUUUUGGCUACACCGCUCUCACUGUUAGUCACCCUGCCAAGCCUCUACUGUGUUUGUAAGGCCAAGUAUGAUGUGAAACGUGGGAAGGUGUCCAAAGCACAUCAGGAAUCAGUAAUUGGUUGCAGAGUAAUUUCAAUCACUGUAGUUCUCACCAUUAUAGCUUUUGUAGUAAUACCAAUUGUAACUCUUAUUGUAAUUAGUUAACGUUGUAGAAUCUAUAACUGUUUAUAUACAGUGUAUUGCUCAUCACCUCAUAGAUACCAAGCUGUCAUUUUUUAUAUUCAUGCGGAA